GUUGUAGGUAGCCAUCAUGUAUGUGACGGCAAAACCACAUCAUUACACAGCUGCGGGCCCGGUCAGGAGAAAAUGACCGAGUGGUCCCUGUCCUCUCCUCGCUGCCGCGCCGCCUCCCUACCGGCGUGGCGGCGCCCCCCUCCCCCCUCCGCCCGCCUCGCCUUCCUGCGCCGGCCGCUCCCAUCUCUUCCCCUCCUCCCCAUUUCCACAUGCCGCCUCCGCGACGCCCCUGCACUCUCCUCGUCCAGUUCCCCAGGCGCCGCCGCGUCCCCGCGCCUCCACCUCGGCCCCGGCGCCGGCGGCAGCAUGGAGGCAGUGUUGCUUUUGCUCUUACAUUCUGGCCACCGGUGCCAUUGGAAGCUUCUUCAGUGAGGUUUGGGUCAUACAUGGGACACCAGCAAUUGGUGGCUCUGGUUCCCACAGUCGCUGAUGAUGUCACAGAAAAUUUAAUGCAUUUGGUCAGCGUGAUGGUGUUAUAAGAAGCGGGAUGUCAGUAUUAGUGUGAGGGCUGCAUCAGCGACAGGGUGCCUCUGCUAUUCCUGGCUGGAAGCGGUAUGCAUCAUCAGGACAACUACACAAGGCUGGGGACUCUGUGGUUGGCACUGGUCCUUGAUGAUGCGGCUGAUGCUAAUUUUUUUCAGUCUUCUGUUCUGUUUCUGGAUGCAGUUUUGAUUGCUCCAUGUAUGUUCUGCCUAUUACAUGUUUAAUUAUGUGGUUCUUCAUCUUUCUCUGGUUGAAUUCAAGCAAGGAGAUGGCUGUGGAUGCUCCAAGUCAAGUGGAUAUGCAGUUAUGCACCCCUAUGUUGUAUGGCAUGGCAUGACAGGUUCUUUUCUCAUUGCCACGGACUUGCUAGCAGUUCUAGAAUUCAGGAUGCACCCUUUGAACAGUGAAAUUGCUAAGCUUGCUUUAACUAUUUGUGAUCAUUUAUAUGUAGUUCUCACAUUACCAUGCAAA